UACGAGAGGGUGCGAGCGUUAAUCGGAAUUACUGGGCGUAAAGCGCGCGUAGGCGGCUUUGCAAGUCGGGUGUGAAAUCCCCGAAGGCUUAACCUGGGAACUGCAUUCGAGACUGCAUUGGCUAGAGGUAUGGGAGAGGGGAAGUGGAAUUUCCGGUGUAGCGGUGAAAUGCGUAGAUAUCGGAAGGAACAUCAGUGGACGGAAAGCGACUUCCUGGACCAAUACUGACGCUCAUGUGCGAAAGCGUGGGGAGCAAACAGGGAUUA
rnacentral:rRNA from 1 species